rnacentral:rRNA from 1 species
UUUCACCGGGGACGAUAAUGACGGUACCCGGAGAAGAAGCCCCGGCUAACUUCGUGCCAGCAGCCGCGGUAAUACGAAGGGGGCUAGCGUUGCUCGGAAUUACUGGGCGUAAAGGGAGCGUAGGCGGAUAGUUUAGUCAGAGGUGAAAGCCCAGGGCUCAACCUUGGAAUUGCCCUUGAUACUGGCUAUCUUGAGUACGGAAGAGGUAUGUGGAACUCCGAGUGUAGAGGUGAAAUUCGUAGAUAUUCGGAAGAACACCAGUGGCGAAGGCGACAUACUGGUCCGUUACUGACGCUGAGGCUCGAAAGCGUGGGGAGCAAACAGGAUUAGAUACCCUGGUAGUCCACGCUGUAAACGAUGAGUGCUAGUUGUCGGCAUGCAUGCAUGUCGGUGACGCAGCUAACGCAUUAAGCACUCCGCCU